rnacentral:lncRNA from 10 species
AGUUCACGUAACAUUCAAUCAAUUAUACCAUUGCUCUAUCUCUAAAGUUUUCUUUUUCUCCUUUUCUCAGUGUCUUACCAAGAAUGAAAGGCAACCUAUGUAAAAACUAUGGGCUUUCUAGUAUAAAUAAAAACUACUCAUCUCCAGAAAAUAAACAAUGACUGCUAAGAUGAUUGAAAAAAGAAAGGAGAAGAAAGUAGCUUGUAAAAGCGUGUGAAAUGCAUUCACGUUGGAAUCUCCUACAGGCACUUCAGUCUGCCAGCAAUCCCACUACUGUGUAUCUACCCAGAGGAAAAGAAGUUAUUAUAUGAAAAGGACAUCUGCACAUGCAUGUUUAUAGCAGCACAAUUCACAAUUGCAAAAAUAUGGAACCAGCCCAAAUGCCAUCAAUCAAUGAGUGGAUGAAGAAACUGUGGUAGACAUAUACGACGGAAUACUACUCAGCCAUGAAAAAGAAAUGAAUUAAUGGCAUUCACAGCAACCUGGAUGGGAUUGGAGACUAUUAUUCUAAGUGAAGUAACUCAGUAAUGGAAAACCAAACAUCACAUGUUCUCACUCAUAAGUGGGAGCUAACCUAUGAGGAUACAAAGGCAUAAGAAUGAUACAAUGGACUUUGGGGACUUGGGUGAAAAGGUGGGAAGAGGGUAAUGGCAAAAGGACUACAAAUCAGGUUCAGUGUAUACUGCUUGGGUGAAGGGAGGAACCCGAAUCUCACAAAUCACCACUAAAGAACUUACCCAUGUAACCAAAUAGCCCAUGUUCUCCAAAACCUAUGGAAAUAAUUUUUUUUUUAGAAAAAGG